rnacentral:rRNA from 2 species
GCUAUACAUGCAGUCGAGCGGAUCGAUGGGAGCUUGCUCCCUGAGAUCAGCGGCGGACGGGUGAGUAACACGUGGGUAACCUGCCUGUAAGACUGGGAUAACUCCGGGAAACCGGGGCUAAUACCGGAUAACACCUACCCCCGCAUGGGGGAAGGUUGAAAGGUGGCUUCGGCUAUCACUUACAGAUGGACCCGCGGCGCAUUAGCUAGUUGGUGAGGUAAUGGCUCACCAAGGCGACGAUGCGUAGCCGACCUGAGAGGGUGAUCGGCCACACUGGGACUGAGACACGGCCCAGACUCCUACGGGAGGCAGCAGUAGGGAAUCUUCCGCAAUGGACGAAAGUCUGACGGAGCAACGCCGCGUGAGUGAAGAAGGUUUUCGGAUCGUAAAACUCUGUUGUUAGGGAAGAACAAGUGCCGUUCGAAUAGGGCGGCGCCUUGACGGUACCUAACCAGAAAGCCACGGCUAACUACGUGCCAGCAGCCGCGGUAAUACGUAGGUGGCAAGCGUUGUCCGGAAUUAUUGGGCGUAAAGCGCGCGCAGGUGGUUUCUUAAGUCUGAUGUGAAAGCCCACGGCUCAACCGUGGAGGGUCAUUGGAAACUGGGGAACUUGAGUGCAGAAGAGGAAAGUGGAAUUCCAAGUGUAGCGGUGAAAUGCGUAGAUAU